GGAUUUAGAUUUAAUAUUUGAAAUUAGUAUUUAAAGAGAUAUAUAUUUGGAAACUAUAACUUAUAGAGUUAUAGUAUAUAAAGAUUAGAGUUUCAAAUUUGUGUGUAGAGUUUAAUUUAAAGUUUGGUGUAUGUGAAGUAUAUGAUUUGGGGUAUAAUGUUUAGAGUAAAAAGGGUUUGGGGUCAAGGACAAGAUUUAAGAAUAAAUUAAAGUUUGAAAAGAUUAGAUUGUGAUUUAUGUUUAAGAUAUAUUUUACGUUUUAAAAUAUAAGAUUUGAUGUUUAGAUUUAUGAUUUGGGGUUUGGGGUUUAGGUUUAGAAUUUAGGGUUUGAUUUGGGGUUUUGAUUUUUGAUUUGAAGUUAAAUUCUGAAAAUAAUUAAAUUUUGAGCCAACACAAAAAGAGAAUGAGACAAAAGAGGAAGAAUGAGAUAGGCACGUGGGUAGGAAGAGAAAGAGAUACAAAAAGAUCACUCUUGACCCUUAGAUUUACGGUUAUCAAUGGUCAAAACAAGAUAAAUCUUAUCCUCACCUCCCAAAUAUCAGCCAAUGAGAGCUCAUGACUUGGAUUAAGCUUUUUGUUUUGUUUUCUUUGACUGUGCACUUGUGACUUACUUCUACUAAAAAUUGUUUUUUUUUUCUCUUUUUUUCCCUUUUUGUUGUUCUAAUUUUUUUAAUUAUUAGAUUAUUUUAACAAAUUUAGUUUAUAAUUAGUUUUAUCAGAUUGUUUUAAAUGUUGAAUUUAUAGCUUAUGAUAAGAAAUUGAGGAAAUAUGGAAUCAAUGUUAGAGAAAAAAGAGAUGAUUAAGGUUAAGUGAUAGUAAUUAUAAGAAAUUGGAUUUGAAUUUAAAUUUGAAAUUUUAGAUUUGUGACUUGGAGUAUAUGUAGGGUUUGGUGUAUAGUAUUUGAGUUAUAUAUUUAACAUUUGAGAUUGAUUAUUAAAAAUGAUUAAUGUUUAGGUUUAAAUUUAAGAUUUGAGGUUAAAUUCAAGAUUUGAUGAUAAAAUUUUAUAUUUUAAGU
rnacentral:lncRNA from 1 species